GAAAUGUGUGCCUUGAUAUUGUUUCAGUUUCUUUUUCAAACGCAUCCCAAGUUUAAAAUUUUUCACCCAAAACAAAAUUGGUAAUAGAAAUAUCUUCAUCCAUGUCCAUUCUCAACUUUAUUCAAAGUAUAAUGACAGUAAUUAGACUGUAGGUGUGCAGUUAGAUACUUAAAAGUGAACACUUUUCUCAGUCAGAGUUCUCAACACCAAAC
rnacentral:lncRNA from 1 species